ACUCACGCACGCACACAUCCAUCGCAUAACACCUCCAGCACCCAUCCAUCCACCACGCAGCACUCCAUUCCUUCAGGAAUACAUCCAUCUACCCGGCAGGAGGAAAGACGCAGGUACCCGAGCCGGCGUACACGGAGAGAGGAGGCCGGCGUACAAGGAGCUCGGCGGCUGUGACAUGGACGCGAAGCUCACCUUCCCCGAACGUAAACUUUGAUCUAACCCAUCCCUUUCCUUGUUCCUUCUUUGCAUAUAGCAUGCACGCACACAGGUCGGGAGCGUUGCCAAGAGCAAUGUUCGCAUGAUCGGACCCCCGUCGGAGAUGGAGCCGCCGGACCGGAAGGUGAAGUCGACGUUGCCAGAGAUGGUCUUCACCAAGCCAGCGCCACAAAGAACGACGAAGAGGUCGUCAUCACAACCUGUUGUUCGCCUCGUCACGACGGUUCGGCCAAGACGACGACGCGGAGCACGCCACGACGCCGCCCACCGUCGAGGUCACCAGGUCGAUGCCCCGGAGGUCGACGCCACGGUGGCCACCCCACUCAUCACCGCGCGAUGAGGACGACGCGUCACCGGAGCUCAUCUUCACCAAGCCCGCGCUAUGGACGCCGACGCUACCGAGGUCGGUGUCACGGAGGUCGACGCCACGGUGGCCACCCCACUCAUCACCGCGCGAUGAGGACGACGUGUCGCNNNNNNNNNNUGUUCGACGUAUUUUUGUGAUUACCAUUUUCAGAAGAUAUAAGUAUAAAUGUAUUUUUUUAAUUGCAAGUUAUACACAUCUAUGUUUUAUAUUGGGUGUAUACGUACACACACGCAUUAGGCGAUCCUCGAUGAUGCAAUGGUACGUGCAUGCAUGCAUUUUGGGUUUGCUCACGUACUAACCAAUUUAUACUUGCACUUGAUGCUCCGUGGCAUAGACUUAUACACACAUGCAGGUUACAAUCAGAAGGCUGAGUCCACAUCUACGACACGCCCACAAGAUAACAUACCAUAUGCGUAUUUCUUUAAUACCCGUAUAUACCGGUCGGCGGGCACGUGUAUACGUACUUGAAUACCUGAGGUUGUUUCAACCAGCAAACCCCGGAGAUAAGAUGAAGAUGGCGAUCGAAUGAACCAGGCCCACCGGUCAGCUGUGUAGCUCAGGUACGUGCGAGUUGGGUUUUGUUUUCCUUGUGCAGGCGUACGCGCUAAGAAAGGGAGAAGAUAAGCACCAACGGAGCUCGUAGACGGGAUUUGAUCUCUAUCUUCCCACGAAUAUCGGAACAAACGCUCGCGCUCUGCCUAUCUCUCUUCCCUAUAAAUACAGAGGCACAAGGCCAUUCGCAGGGGAGGGAGGCACGGCCAGAGGAGAAGAACUCACGCACGCACACAUCCAUCGCAUAACACCUCCAGCACCCAUCCAUCCACCACGCAGCACUCCAUUCCUUCAGGAAUACAUCCAUCUACCCGGCAGGAGGAAAGACGCAGGUACCCGAGCCGGCGUACACGGAGAGAGGAGGCCGGCGUACAAGGAGCUCGGCGGCUGUGACAUGGACGCGAAGCUCACCUUCCCCGAACGUAAACUUUGAUCUAACCCAUCCCUUUCCUUGUUCCUUCUUUGCAUAUAGCAUGCACGCACACAGGUCGGGAGCGUUGCCAAGAGCAAUGUUCGCAUGAUCGGACCCCCGUCGGAGAUGGAGCCGCCGGACCGGAAGGUGAAGUCGACGUUGCCAGAGAUGGUCUUCACCAAGCCAGCGCCACAAAGAACGACGAAGAGGUCGUCAUCACAACCUGUUGUUCGCCUCGUCACGACGGUUCGGCCAAGACGACGACGCGGAGCACGCCACGACGCCGCCCACCGUCGAGGUCACCAUGUCGAUGCCCCGGAGGUCGACGCCACGGUGGCCACCCCACUCAUCACCGCGCGAUGAGGACGACGCGUCACCGGAGCUCAUCUUCACCAAGCCCGCGCUAUGGACGCCGACGCUACCGAGGUCGGUGUCACGGAGGUCGACGCCACGGUGGCCACCCCACUCAUCACCGCGCGAUGAGGACGACGUGUCGCCGGAGCUCAUCUUCACCAAGCCCGCGCUAUGGACGCUGACGCUACCG
rnacentral:lncRNA from 1 species